ANUCGAACGAUGAAGCUGGAGCUUGCUCCGGUGGAUUAGUGGCGAACGGGUGAGUAACACGUGAGCAAUCUGCCCUUGACUCUGGGAUAACUGCGGGAAACUGUAGCUAAUACCGGAUACGAGACUUGGAGGCAUCUCCAGGUCUGGAAAGAAUUUCGGUCAAGGAUGAGCUCGCGGCCUAUCAGCUAGUUGGUGAGGUAAUGGCUCACCAAGGCGACGACGGGUAGCCGGCCUGAGAGGGUGACCGGCCACACUGGGACUGAGACACGGCCCAGACUCCUACGGGAGGCAGCAGUGGGGAAUAUUGCACAAUGGGCGAAAGCCUGAUGCAGCAACGCCGCGUGAGGGAUGAAGGCCUUCGGGUUGUAAACCUCUUUUAGCAGGGAAGAAGCGAAAGUGACGGUACCUGCAGAAAAAGCACCGGCUAACUACGUGCCAGCAGCCGCGGUAAUACGUAGGGUGCAAGCGUUGUCCGGAAUUAUUGGGCGUAAAGAGCUCGUAGGCGGUUUGUCGCGUCUGCUGUGAAAAUCCGAGGCUCAACCUCGGACUUGCAGUGGGUACGGGCAGACUAGAGUGCAGUAGGGGAGAAGGGAAUUCCUGGUGUAGCGGUGGAAUGCGCAGAUAUCAGGAGGAACACCGAUGGCGAAGGCACUUCUCUGGGCUGUAACUGACGCUGAGGAGCGAAAGCGUGGGGAGCGAACAGGAUUAGAUACCCUGGUAGUCCACGCCGUANACGUUGGGCGCUAGAUGUGGGCCACAUUCCACGUGGUCCGUGUCGCAGCUAACGCAUUAAGCGCCCCGCCUGGGGAGUACGGCCGCAAGGCUAAAA
rnacentral:rRNA from 1 species